rnacentral:rRNA from 1 species
AGCAGCCGCGGUAAUUCCAGCUCCAAUAGCGUAUAUUAAAGUUGUUGCAGUUAAAAAGCUCGUAGUUGAAUUUCGGGGUCUGUCCAUCGGUCGGGCUUUUUCGGUCCGCACUGUUGCGAUGGAUUCCUACCUUCUGAAUAACCGAUUUGCCAUUAAUUUGGUGGGUCGGGGAAGCAGGACUGUUACCUUGAAAAAAUUAGAGUGCUCAAAGCAGGCUAGUGCCUGAAUACAUUAGCAUGGAAUAAUAAAAUAGGACGGCAUGGUUCUAUUUUGUUGGUUUCUAGGAUCACCGUAAUGAUUAAUAGGGAUAGUUGGGGGCAUUAGUAUUCAAUUGUCAGAGGUGAAAUUCUUGGAUUUAUUGAAGACUAACUACUGCGAAAGCAUUUGCCAAGGAUGUUUUCAUUAAUCAAGGACGAAAGUUAGGGGAUCGAAGACGAUCAGAUACCGUCGUAGUCUUAACCAUAAACUAUGCCGACUAGGGAUCGGACGAUGUUAAUUUUUUAAUGACUCGUUCGGCGCC